rnacentral:lncRNA from 1 species
CCCUCAGACUCAGCAGGGACCCCACACCAGGACCCUCUCCCUCCCAGGCCUGAGAAGCAGUGCUCACCCAGGCCUCCUGCCUGAGGCUGUGGGGCUUUGCCCAGCUCUGCCCCUUUCCCCUUCUUCCCGGAAGGUCCUUCCUAUUUCUAACGUGGUGGCAAGGGGAACCCUUCUUCCCGGAAGGUCCUUCCUAUUUCUAACGUGGUGGCAAGGGGAACCCUUCUUCCCGGAAGGUCCUUCCUAUUUCUAACGUGGUGGCAAGGGGAACCCUUCUUCCCGGAAGGUCCUUCCUAUUUCUAACGUGGUGGCAAGGGGAACCCUUCUUCCCGGAAGGUCCUUCCUAUUUCUAACGUGGUGGCAAGGGGAAAUGCCCCUUGUCUUGUCCACCCUCAUUCGUCCCCUUCCCUCCCCAGUAAUGGCCACUGGUUGCCCUAGGAACCACCCAGGCUCUUCCCAGAGGACCCGAAUGGGCAGGUAGCCACAGUGUCUGGAUAAGACCUAACCAUCUUUCCAUCUGGUCUACAGCUCUGACAGCUGGAGCAUAUAGGAGAGCAAUGACCCUGGCCUUUGGCCCUCAGAUAGUUUCUACCACAGGCCCUACCCAAGUUCGACUCUACUCACCUCCAACUGUCCCCAACUCCGACCUCAAGAGCUUAAAAGCCUAUUUGUCUUUUAAGGCCCAGCCUUUAGGAAGCUGACCCAGCCCAGACCCUGGUCGCUCCUUGUUUUGGGUUCCUGUCACACCUUGUUUAUGUUUUACUUGUGGUGUGGUAGCACACAAGGAUAGUUAGCUCCCUCCCUCCUCAGACUGUGAGCCUCAGAGGCCUUAUUAAUUUAGGCAUCUCCAGCACAAUGCCAGCCAUAUCAUGAAGAUGGUAAUGCUGCUAACAUUUCAGAGUGACUACUCCAUGCCCAGCACUGUUCCAAGUGUUUCAAAUGUGUCAUCUCUUGUAAUACUCUGUUUUUUGAGACAGAGUCUCA